UACGUAGGGUCCGAGCGUUGUCCGGAAUUAUUGGGCGUAAAGAGCUCGUAGGCGGUUUGUCGCGUCUGCUGUGAAAUCCCGAGGCUCAACCUCGGGCCUGCAGUGGGUACGGGCAGACUGGAGUGCGGGUAGGGGAGAAUGGAAUUCCUGGUGUAGCGGUGGAAUGCGCAGAUAUCAGGAGGAACACCGAUGGCGAAGGCAGGUCUCUGGGCCACUACUGACGUGAGAAGCGAAAGCAUAGGGGAGCGAAACAGG
rnacentral:rRNA from 1 species